rnacentral:rRNA from 1 species
GACGAACGCUGGCGGCGUGCUUAACACAUGCAAGUCGAACGGAAAGGCCCUGCUUUUGUGGGGUGCUCGAGUGGCGAACGGGUGAGUAACACGUGAGUAACCUGCCCUUGACUUUGGGAUAACUUCAGGAAACUGGGGCUAAUACCGGAUAGGAGCUCCUGCUGCAUGGUGGGGGUUGGAAAGUUUCGGCGGAUGGGGAUGGACUCGCGGCUUAUUAGCUUGUUGGUGGGGUAGUGGCUUACCAAGGCUUUGACGGGUAGCCGGCCUGAGAGGGUGACCGGCCACAUUGGGACUGAGAUACGGCCCAGACUCCUACGGGAGGCAGCAGUGGGGAAUAUUGCACAAUGGGCGGAAGCCUGAUGCAGCAACGCCGCGUGCGGGAUGACGGCCUUCGGGUUGUAAACCGCUUUCGCCUGUGACGAAGCGUGAGUGACGGUAAUGGGUAAAGAAGCACCGGCUAACUACGUG